UACGAAGGGGGCAAGCGUUGUUCGGAAUUACUGGGCGUAAAGGGCGCGCAGGCGGCCCUUGAAGUCAGGUGUGAAAGCCCCGGGCUCAACCUGGGAAUUGCGCUUGAUACUCCGGGGCUCGAGUUCGGGAGAGGAGAGUGGAAUUCCCAGUGUAGAGGUGAAAUUCGUAGAUAUUGGGAAGAACACCGGUGGCGAAGGCGGCUCUCUGGACCGAGACUGACGCUGAGGCGCGAAAGCGUGGGGAGCAAACAGG
rnacentral:rRNA from 1 species